UACAGAGGGCGCGAGCGUUGUCCGGAAUCACUGGGCGUAAAGGGCGCGUAGGUGGCCACCAUAAGGCCGCGGUGAAAGUUCGGGGCUCAACCCCGGAUCGGCCGCGGCGACUGUGGGGCUCGGGUACUGUAGAGGCAGAUGGAAUUCCGGGUGUAGCGGUGGAAUGCGUAGAGAUCCGGAAGAACACCAGUGGCGAAAGCGGCCACCUGGACUGCACCUGACGCUGACACGCGAAAGCUAGGGGAGCGAACGGG
rnacentral:rRNA from 1 species